UGGAUUAAACAAAACAUUUUUUGUCUAAUUAACUAUUAUUACUACUUGCUAAUCUGAGAGACAGAAGUAAAACUUGGAGGGAGCUGAAGGUGUGCCAGCCAAACCCCUUGUUAUUGCCUACGCCACGCUUUCAUCUUCUUCUUAUUCUUCUUCCUUACUCAGAUCCUAAAUCUCCAAAACCCCAUUUCCUUCUGUAUUUUUUUUUUCUUUUAGUUUCCCUCAUGUAAACAAGCCCUUUCUUUCAAUUGGUCCUCUUCCUCCAGAUUUUCAGGAACUAAUAAUGGGGAAAAGGGUUAAGAGGAAUCGUCGAGUGCCUCCUAAGGAGAAAAACGUUGUGGCAGCCCAUUCUCCAAAAAUUAUACCUAAGGAGAAAAAUGCUAGUGUCGAAAAUGUUGAUGAUGGAGUCACAGUCGUAAAAGAGAGGAAAUCAUGCCCCCAUUUCGAGAAAGGUAUUGACGUGGAUAAAUUGUUGACUAAACUUAGGUCCUCGGAGCCUAUUAGAUGUGAAGAUUGCAGGGAAGGGGGGAAUGAUAGGAGAGGAGGUAAGGGAAAGGGUAAACAUGGGAAGAAGAAAGGAAGUGCUUCAGUUGAUUCCAAAUCUGAGUUAAAAGCAAUUUGGGUUUGUUUGGAAUGUGGACAUUAUAUGUGUGCUGGAGUUGGUUUGCCAACCGCUUCUACCACCCAUGCUGUUUACCAUCGUAGACAAACCCGUCACCAUAUGGUGAUUCAGUGGGAUAAUCCUCAAUUGAGGUGGUGCUUUGCUUGCAACACAUUCAUUCCUGUUGAGAAAACAGAAGAAAAUGGUGAAAGAAAAGAUGUUUUACAUGAGGUUGUAAAAUUGAUUAAGGAACGAUCGUCUGAACCAUCAUCAGCAGCUGAUGUUGAGGAUGUUUGGUUUGGAACUGGCAGUGUUACAAGUGCAAUCAAAUCAGCAGGAACUCUAUCGAAUUCUUUGGAUGGAAAAAAUGGCUAUGUGGUUCGGGGUUUGGUUAAUCUUGGGAAUACAUGCUUCUUUAAUUCAGUAAUGCAGAAUCUUCUUUCUCUUCAUAGGCUAAGGGACUACUUCUUGAAUCUUAAUGCAUCCAUGGGGCAGCUAACUAUUUCUUUGAAAAAGCUUUUUGCUGAAACAGGCCUGGAGAUGGGUUUGAAAAAUCCUAUCAAUCCAAAACCCUUUUUUGGGUCCAUCUGUGCUAAGGCUCCCCAGUUUAGGGGCUCUCAGCAACAUGAUAGUCAUGAGUUGCUUCGUUGCUUGCUUGAUGGGCUUUAUAUGGAAGAGUUGGCUCUGAAAAAACACAUUAAUGCUUCUAAAAAUGAUGUAGUUUCAACAAAUCAGGAUCUUACUUUUGUGGAUGCUGUAUUUGGUGGUCAAAUUUCAAGUACUCUCUGUUGUAAGGAAUGUGGGCACUCCUCAACAGUGUAUGAACCUUUUUUAGAUCUCUCGCUUUCAGUUCCAACUAAGAAAACACCAUCUAAAAUGGCUCAACCAGUCUCUCGAGCAAAGAAAACUAAGCUGCCACCAAAAAAAGUUGGCAGGGCUCGAGGAAAAGUUAACAAAGAUGCAGAUCAGGCACCAGUUGAUGGUGUUACGACUCCAUUGGCAGGCAGUGAAUCUCCAGGCCUAGGACAUAUAGCUGCACCUCAAAUAGAAACCGUAUUGGCAUCUUCUGGUGAUUCUUUGCUAUCAAGUGCUGUUGGCCCAAGUAGCGAGGCCAAUGAAAUCAGUUAUGCUUCACAGAAUCUCUUAGAAGUUGCAGAGUCUCAAAAUGAGCAAGUAAUGGAGAAUACAAUGCAGGAAAAUGCAGCUGGGGCAGAUGAUUUUGCUUGGAUGGAUUACCUCGUAAUGGCAGAUACACCCCAGGAAGAUGCUGCUGGGGCAGAUGAUUAUACUUGGAUGGAUUACCUUGAACAAGGAAUUGUAGCUGAUGAGAAUGAUUUUGUUUCCCAAAGUAACGACAUCUCUCUUAUCCAGGAUUCCGAGGACAAGGAUUUGGUUCUGAAUGAAGCUUUAGGUGAAAGUCGUCGGGUUUCUUUAAUCAAGGGGGAACCAAUUCAAGGACCAUAUGAUUCUUCUAGAAACCUUCAAGAAGAGGAGCUUCCUUUGCUGGUUCAAGAUUCUGAGAUUCUGUUGCUUCCUUACAAAGAAGAAAGUACUGGUACUGAGGGGAGUGUUAGAGAAAAUGAGGCAUCUUCAUCAAAUGCAUGUCAUGGACAAGAGGAAGUGGAGUUUGAUGGCUUUGGUGACAUGUUUAAUGAGCCUGAAAUUACUGCAGGGCCCAGCAUUGGGCCCUCUUUGGCAAAUGAAGUUGCUGAAACUGGUUUUUUGGCUGGGAAUAUCAGUGAUUCUGAUCCUGAUGAGGUUGAUGAUAGUGAUUCUCCAGUAUCCAUAGAGAGCUGUUUGGCUCACUUCAUAAAGCCAGAGGUUCUUUCUGAUGAUAAUGCUUGGAAUUGUGAGAAUUGUGCAAAAUUUUUGUUAAGUCAGGAGUUGAAAGUGAAGAAGCAAAUUAAAAUGACAAAGAAUUUAAUCAGUGGUGGUGAGACUCAAAGCCAAUAUGAACCACCAAGUUUAGAUAGAGAACUUCCCUGUCCUGACGGAAUUAGAACCAUCAGUAAUGGCGAAAGCUUGGUUUUACAUAAUGAGAUAACUGAUUCUUUCAAUCAAAAUUGUAUAAAAGUUGAAAAUGGUCAAACAGGUGAGCUAAAUUCAGUUGUAUCUAAAUGUGAAGAAGGGAAAUCUCAAAUAGAAGAUGCAAGUCUGAUGAAAUCAAAUUCUUCAGUCUCCUCUAAAUAUUGUGUUCAAGAACAAUCUGGGGGUAUCCAACCUGUUGAUUCUUGCAAUGUUGAAAAUCAUAGUGGUAAUGAUAAAUUUCAGCAGAGUAAUUCACAUAUGGCUGAAAACUGUCAAUCAAGGGAAAGUGAUGAUGAAGAGAUAGACUCUAAAAACGUGAAGGUGAAGAGAAAUGCAACAAAGAGGGUCCUCAUAAACAAGGCACCGCCUAUUCUGACUAUUCAUUUGAAGAGGUUCAGUCAAGAUGUUCGUGGUCGCUUAAGCAAAUUGAAUGGCCAUGUCAAUUUCAGCGAAACAAUCGAUCUUAGACCAUAUGUGGAUCCCAGGUCUGAAGACAAAGAUAAUUGUAUUUACCGUCUGGUGGGGGUUGUGGAGCAUUUGGGAACAAUGAGAUGGGGCCACUACAUUGCAUAUGUGAGAGGAGGUGAGGAGAGGAAAGAAAAGGCCGAGAUUGGACAUGUCAGUUCUCUGUGGUAUUAUGCGAGUGAUCUUUGUGUGCGCCAAGUAUCACUUGAAGAAGUUCUUCGCAGAGAGGCAUACAUUUUAUUCUAUGAAAAAAUUUGAGCGAAAGGUUUUGUUCCAUGCUUGUUCUGUUUCUUGUGACACCAGGGUGCCUGGUAAAGUUAGUACCACAACCCCAGAGGAGAGAGGCACAGAUACCUGAAAGGAAGAGGGCUUUGUUUCCUAUUUGUGGUGAAGCUGGGGCUAACCUUUUGCAUAACAGUUGGAAAAUAUGAGCUUGGAUUGAAGUUCAUGAUCCUAUGACAACAUUUGCUCAUUAAUGUGGCUAUCCUAUAGUGUCACCUACUUUUUUAAACCUGUUUUUUUGGAGGAAUAUUCCCUACUAAACUAUUAAAUUAUUAUGUACAUGUAUAGUAAUAUUUUGAGUUUUCUACCAACUGGAGUGAUAGAUGGAUCAAAAUUGUGCUGGAUUAAUCAAACUGAAUGGCUUAAUAAUAGUUUGGAUUUUCAUUUUGGCCAAUGUUUGGCUACAAUUUGAAAGAAGACAUCAACCGGGUGAAAACUGUGCGAGAGAAUCCAGUUCUUUCAGAAUUAACAGCUGUAAAUUAUAAUGUACCGAGGACAACUGAGAAGAAUCCAAUACCACUUUCAAAAGAAAUGGGUAAUUUUGUAAAUCCAUUCUUGAGAACUAAGAUCUAAAACAGGGAAUGGUACAAUAAUUUUAUUUCUCUUUUCCUUUUCGGCCAAUAAGGCCAAUUAUCAACCCAUGAAAGUACCCCCACACCAUAUAGCAUAAAUAUAACCACAAUAAAAACAAAAAAAAAAGGGGGGGAAAAGAAAAGCAGAAAAGAAGAGAAAGGGCUCUUCCCCCCUCCCUCUCUUUCCUCUAUCUCUGUCUUGCU